GAUGAACGCUGGCGGCGUGCCUAAUACAUGCAAGUCGAGCGAACAGACGAGGAGCUUGCUCCUCUGACGUUAGCGGCGGACGGGUGAGUAACACGUGGAUAACCUACCUAUAAGACUGGGAUAACUUCGGGAAACCGGAGCUAAUACCGGAUAAUAUAUUGAACCGCAUGGUUCAAUAGUGAAAGACGGUUUUGCUGUCACUUAUAGAUGGAUCCGCGCCGCAUUAGCUAGUUGGUAAGGUAACGGCUUACCAAGGCAACGAUGCGUAGCCGACCUGAGAGGGUGAUCGGCCACACUGGAACUGAGACACGGUCCAGACUCCUACGGGAGGCAGCAGUAGGGAAUCUUCCGCAGUGGGCGAAAGCCUGACGGAGCAACGCCGCGUGAGAGAUGAAGGUCUUCGGAUCGUAAAACUCUGUUAUUAGGGAAGAACAAAUGUGUAAGUAACUAUGCACGUCUUGACGGUACCUAAUCAGAAAGCCACGGCUAACUACGUG
rnacentral:rRNA from 1 species